AGCUUUGUUUUUAUUGAAGAAGGCAUUGGAUUGCAACUCCGUGUACACGAGUUCGAUUCUCGUACUCGCCUCCA
rnacentral:tRNA from 1 species